GUCUCAUAUAGAAGUAGAUUGAAAUUUUCCAUAUUAUACAACAAAAAGAGGUUAUGCAUCAGGAGUUCGAUGCUAUCCAUCUCUAUAAAGGGAAAGGGAAUAGAUUGUCCUGUGACAAUCACAGAGAGGCUCUGUCUUAGUCAUUUCUGGCAAAAUUCUUGCCAAAGUCUUCAAAUUAAUAGGCUGACUCUACACCUGAGAAGGUCAUCUACCCGAGAACCAGUGUAGCUGCAGAAGAGACCGAGAGAAGCAGUGAAUGCAGCAUUUACUGCCCACUGACUCCAGGAGAAAAGCCAGGGCCAGGACAGAGGCCGUAUUAUCAUCUGGAGUUCUGACCAAAGCCUUUGAGACUGUCAAUCGUGAGGGCUUAUGGGAAAAAUGUUAGAAUUUGGGAGCCCAGAGAAGUUCAACUUCGUGCUUGCUCGGUUCUAGACAAUGGACAGUGUCUGAAGUGUUCCCAAUCACCAAUGGAGCGACUGUGCUUGCUCCCGUGCUUUUUUUUUUAGCAUGAUGACAUAUGUUCAGAUUCUUGCUGUUCUUGAAGAGGACCAUGACAUCAGGGAAGUGAUGCCAUUCCUUGCAAGUGAUUUGGAUUUCAGAGGUUAUUAAAUGUUGCUUUUCCCCAAA